rnacentral:rRNA from 1 species
CGUGCAGGAGUGCUAGAAUGCAGUCGAACGUACUAUGGAAUUGGGUAACCGAGACCAUGGUAAGUGGCGAAAGGGUGAGGAAUAAAUAGGUAACAUACCCCGUACUCCGGGAUAGCGUCGUUGCCGCAAGGCAACUACCGAAAGGGGCGGUAAUACCGGAUGAUAUCGGACUUCACAAGGAGUCCGAUCAACGAUUUAUCGGUGUGGGAUUGGCCUAUUUCCUAUCAGCUAGUUGGUGAGGUAAUGGCCCACCAAGGCGAUGACGGGUAGCGGGACUGAGAGGUUGACCCGCCACAUCGGGACUGAGACACUGCCCGGACCUCCACGGAGGGCUGCAGUAACGAAUAUUGCGCAAUGGGCGAAAGCCUGACGCAGCGACGCCGCGUGUAGGACGAAGCCCCUCGGGGUGUAAACUACUGUCAGGGGUUAAAAAGUCUGAGCAAUCAGAUUGAUCAGCCCCAGAGGAAGUCACGGCUAACUUCGUGCCAGCAGCCGCGGUAAUACGAAGGUGGCUAGCGUUGUUCGGUGUCACUGGGCUUAAAGCGCUCGUAGGCGGAACCGUAAGUGUCUUGUGAAAUCCCCCGGCUCAACCGGGGAAUGGCUAGGCAUACUGCGGUUCUUGAGGCAAACAGGGGUGCAUGGAACUCUUGGUGGAGCGAUGGAAUGCGUAGAUAUCAAGAGGAACGCCGAUGGUGAAGACAAUGCACUGGGUUUGUCCUGACGCUGAGGAGCGAAAGCGUGGGGAGCAAACAGGAUUAGAUACCCUGAUAGUCCACGCCCUAAACGAUGUUUACUAGGUUGUAGAGGAUCUGACGCCUUUACAGUCGAGCAAAGUGUUAAGUAAACCGCCUGGUGUAGUACGGUCGCAUGCUA